rnacentral:rRNA from 1 species
UCAAGUGAAUAAGUGCAUCAGGCGGAUGCCUUGGCGAUGAUAGGCGACGAAGGACGUGUAAGCCUGCGAAAAGCGCGGGGGAGCUGGCAAUAAAGCUAUGAUUCCGCGAUGUCCGAAUGGGGAAACCCACUGCAUUCUGUGCAGUAUCCUAAGUUGAAUACAUAGGCUUAGAGAAGCGAACCCGGAGAACUGAACCAUCUAAGUACCCGGAGGAAAAGAAAUCAACCGAGAUUCCGCAAGUAGUGGCGAGCGAACGCGGAGGAGCCUGUACGUAAUAACUGUCGAGAUAGAAGAACAAGCUGGGAAGCUUGACCAUAGCGGGUGACAGUCCCGUAUUCGAAAUCUCAACAGCGGUACUAAGCGUACGAAAAGUAGGGCGGGACACGUGAAAUCCUGUCUGAAUAUGGGGGGACCAUCCUCCAAGGCUAAAUACUCAUCAUCGACCGAUAGUGAACCAGUACCGUGAGGGAAAGGCGAAAAGAACCCCGGGAGGGGAGUGAAACAGAACCUGAAACCUGAUGCAUACAAACAGUGGGAGCGCCCUAGUGGUGUGACUGCGUACCUUUUGUAUAAUGGGUCAACGACUUACAUUCAGUAGCGAGCUUAACCGGAUAGGGGAGGCGUAGGGAAACCGAGUCUUAAUAGGGCGAUGAGUUGCUGGGUGUAGACCCGAAACCGAGUGAUCUAUCCAUGGUCAGGUUGAAGGUGCCGUAACAGGUACUGGAGGACCGAACCCACGCAUGUUGCAAAAUGCGGGGAUGAGCUGUGGGUAGGGGUGAAAGGCUAAACAAACUCGGAGAUAGCUGGUUCUCCCCGAAAACUAUUUAGGUAGUGCCUCGAGCAAGACACUGAUGGGGGUAAAGCACUGUUAUGGCUAGGGGGUUAUUGCAACUUACCAACCCAUGGCAAACUCAGAAUACCAUCAAGUGGUUCCUCGGGAGACAGACAGCGGGUGCUAACGUCCGUUGUCAAGAGGGAAACAACCCAGACCGUCGGCUAAGGUCCCAAAUGAUAGAUUAAGUGGUAAACGAAGUGGGAAGGCACAGACAGCCAGGAUGUUGGCUUAGAAGCAGCCAUCAUUUAAAGAAAGCGUAAUAGCUCACUGGUCGAGUCGUCCUGCGCGGAAGAUGUAACGGGGCUCAAAUCUAUAACCGAAGCUGCGGAUGCCGGUUUACCGGCAUGGUAGGGGAGCGUUCUGUAGGCUGAUGAAGGUGCAUUGUAAAGUGUGCUGGAGGUAUCAGAAGUGCGAAUGUUGACAUGAGUAGCGAUAAAGCGGGUGAAAAGCCCGCUCGCCGAAAGCCCAAGGUUUCCUACGCAACGUUCAUCGGCGUAGGGUAAGUCGGCCCCUAAGGCGAGGCAGAAAUGCGUAGUCGAUGGGAAACAGGUUAAUAUUCCUGUACUUGAUUCAAAUGCGAUGUGGGGACGGAGAAGGUUAGGUUGGCAAGCUGUUGGAAUAGCUUGUUUAAGCCGGUAGGUGGAAGACUUAGGCAAAUCCGGGUUUUCUUAACACCGAGAAGUGAUGACGAGUGUCUACGGACACGAAGCAACCGAUACCACGCUUCCAGGAAAAGCCACUAAGCUUCAGUUUGAAUCGAACCGUACCGCAAACCGACACAGGUGGGCAGGAUGAGAAUUCUAAGGCGCUUGAGAGAACUCGGGAGAAGGAACUCGGCAAAUUGAUACCGUAACUUCGGGAGAAGGUAUGCCCUCUAAGGUUAAGGACUUGCUCCGUAAGCCCCGGAGGGUCGCAGAGAAUAGGUGGCUGCGACUGUUUAUUAAAAACACAGCACUCUGCCAACACGAAAGUGGACGUAUAGGGUGUGACGCCUGCCCGGUGCCGGAAGGUUAAUUGAAGAUGUGCAAGCAUCGGAUCGAAGCCCCGGUAAACGGCGGCCGUAACUAUAACGGUCCUAAGGUAGCGAAAUUCCUUGUCGGGUAAGUUCCGACCCGCACGAAUGGCGUAACGAUGGCCACACUGUCUCCUCCCGAGACUCAGCGAAGUUGAAGUGGUUGUGAAGAUGCAAUCUACCCGCUGCUAGACGGAAAGACCCCGUGAACCUUUACUGUAGCUUUGCAUUGGACUUUGAAGUCACUUGUGUAGGAUAGGUGGGAGGCUUGGAAGCAGAGACGCCAGUCUCUGUGGAGUCGUCCUUGAAAUACCACCCUGGUGUCUUUGAGGUUCUAACCCAGACCCGUCAUCCGGGUCGGGGACCGUGCAUGGUAGGCAGUUUGACUGGGGCGGUCUCCUCCCAAAGCGUAACGGAGGAGUUCGAAGGUUACCUAGGUCCGGUCGGAAAUCGGACUGAUAGUGCAAUGGCAAAAGGUAGCUUAACUGCGAGACCGACAAGUCGGGCAGGUGCGAAAGCAGGACAUAGUGAUCCGGUGGUUCUGUAUGGAAGGGCCAUCGCUCAACGGAUAAAAGGUACUCCGGGGAUAACAGGCUGAUUCCGCCCAAGAGUUCAUAUCGACGGCGGAGUUUGGCACCUCGAUGUCGGCUCAUCACAUCCUGGGGCUGUAGUCGGUCCCAAGGGUAUGGCUGUUCGCCAUUUAAAGUGGUACGUGAGCUGGGUUUAAAACGUCGUGAGACAGUUUGGUCCCUAUCUGCAGUGGGCGUUGGAAGUUUGACGGGGGCUGCUCCUAGUACGAGAGGACCGGAGUGGACGAACCUCUGGUGUACCGGUUGUAACGCCAGUUGCAUAGCCGGGUAGCUAAGUUCGGAAGAGAUAAGCGCUGAAAGCAUCUAAGCGCGAAACUCGCCUGAAGAUGAGACUUCCCUUGCGGUUUAACCGCACUAAAGGGUCGUUCGAGACCAGGACGUUGAUAGGUGGGGUGUGGAAGCGCGGUAACGCGUGAAGCUAACCCAUACUAAUUGCCCGUGAGGCUUGACUCU